CAUAGCGCUUUGGACCCACCUGACUCCAUGCCGAACUCAGUAGUGAAACGAAGCAGCGCCGAUGGUAGUGUGGGGUCUCCCCAUGUGAGAGUAGGACAUUGCCAAGC
rnacentral:rRNA from 1 species